rnacentral:misc_RNA from 1 species
UUUCCGUAGGUGAACCUGCGGAAGGAUCAUUAACGAGUAAGGGUCAUCCUAGCCCUUCCUCCAACCCUUUGCUUAUUUACUAGGUUGCUUUGGCCGGCCCGUUUCACCACCGCCCGAACUCCUCGGACUUCUCGCCCGUGCCCGCCCAUAGCCUUCUACAAACUCUUGAUCAAUUGUGUUGUCAAAGUAAUAAAUUUAAUAGCUAAAACUUUCAACAACGGAGCUCUUGGUUAUGGCCUCGACGAACAACGCAGCACACCGGCAGAGCACACGUCU